rnacentral:tRNA from 16 species
GGUGGUAUAGCCAAGCGGUAAGGCAAGGGAUUGCAAAUCCUUUAUUCCCCAGUUCGAAUCUGGGUACCACCU